GGGGGGGGUGGCACCACUACCCUACGGCUCUCGUGUAAGAGAGGGUGAUGUGGGGCGCGGCAAUCGCACCUGGCUCGCUGAUUGCAUCUGACGUGCGGCCAGUUCAGCGCAUGCGGUAGGAGACAGUUGAUGCAACGGCCGUGGCCAAUGACGAACGACAGCCGAUCCGCUGGACUAAGGUCGCGAAAUCGGCUACAAUCCUCCAGUGGAUGGCCUGGCCCGCAAAGAGGGCAAGAGGGUCGUGAGUUAGGGGAUGAGAUGGGUCGCUCAGCGACAGCAGGGAGGUCAUUCCACGCCUCAAUUGGCGGGAGAGGGUCUGUUGCCGCCGCACCAGUAAAAAAAAAAAUAAUAAGAAAAUAUUAAUAGUUUAUAAUAACACUCCGCCGUCCCAAAAAAGGAGGGGCGGAAAAAAGGUGUUUCAACCUUUUCCCCAGUUUUAAUUGACGUGAUUUGAGUUGUUUUAUUCGCCAUGGUGAGCGAAAAAACUCCGAAGAGCUCUUAUGAUGAAGCCUCUGGAAAAAAGGUGUUUCAACCUUUUCCCCAGUUUUAAUUGACGUGAUUUAAGUUGUUUUAUUCGCCAUGGUGAGCGAAAACGGCUCAUGCUGAUGGAUCAUUCUUCAUCAGACUCUUCGUCAUCUCCAGGUUCGAACUUCUUUCCGCAAAUCUGAACAUGGUAUGUAGUGAAGCCAGAACUAACUGAGAGAAGAUCUGCAGCAACAGCUGCCUUUCUAUCAUCUUCAAUCUCGAUGGCCUGGGCUUUCGCAACAGCAGCUUUCAUAUAUUGUCUUAUCAGGAACUUGACGUAGGGGAAGUUGUGAAUUGUCUUCGCCAUCCCCGCUUACUUUCUCAGCCCUUUUUCAUUAUCGGCCUUGAUCAACAAUAUAAUGCACGCUCCAGCAAGGUCUUUAUAAUUAGUGGAUGCUGCGGCUCCCAGGUCUUUAUUGAACCCGUAGUAUUUGUCCUCUCCAAUAGUUUCGAACGCGAUUUUGAACUUUCCUAACUGGACGUAAUACGUGGUUGUCCUCGCCGUUUCAUCCUGAAACGAGAGUAAACCUUGACUUUAGGCAAGGUUACAAGAGGAAACUCAGGUUGCCCUUGCCAGCCGCGAGACCAAGGUCGUUAAGGUGGGGUGGUACGUAGCAAAAAACAUGAGGGGCGCGAAAGCAAACAGAGAAACGAGUGAAUUACAAAGGCGACUAAAAACACGGGCAUAUAACGAACGAGUAAACUACAAGGGCGAUUGAAAACAUG